rnacentral:ncRNA from 2 species
GUAUUACACUGGGGGUGCUGCAUAAGCGGCUGAGAGAAACAGAUUUGUUUUAACCCUUCGAACUCGAACUAGAUAAUCCUAGCGUGGGGAAUGAGGUCACCUUUGUAA